UACGAAGGCAGCAGUGGGGAAUAUUGCACAAUGGGCGAAAGCCUGAUGCAGCUAUGCCGCGUGUAUGAAGAAGGCCUUAGGGUUGUAAAGUACUUUCAUCGGGGAGGAAAAACAAAACUAAUAAUUUUAUUUCUUGACGUUACCCGAAAAAGAAGCACCGGCUAACUCCGUGCCAGCAGCCGCGGUAAUACGGAGGGUGCUAGCGUUAAUCAGAAUUACUGGGCGUAAAGAGCACGUAGGUGGUUUUUUUAAGUCAGAUGUGAAAUCCCUGGGCUUAACCUAGGAACUGCAUUUUGAAACUGAAAUACUAGAGUAUCGUAGAGGGAGGUAGAAUUCUAGGUGUAGCGGUGAAAUGCGUAGAUAUCUGGAGGAAUACCUGUGGCGAAAGCGGCCUCCUAAACGAAUACUGACACUGAGGGUGCGAAAAGCGUGGGGAGCAAACAGGGAUUAGAUACC
rnacentral:rRNA from 1 species